GUGAAUCAUCAAAUCUUUGAACGCAUAUUGCACUCUCUGGUAUUCCGGAGAGUAUGCCUGUUUGAGGGUAAUUAACACGUCUCAUUCACCAAUUUUUUUUGGUCAACGUAAAUGAGCUCUCCGCGUUUAUAGCGGUAGCUUGAAAUAAAUGGUCAAGUCUCAUGUUAGUCGAGCCGCGUCU
rnacentral:misc_RNA from 1 species